UCAGGGGGAGCCUGGAGAAAUGGGGCCGAAGGGACUUCAAGGAAUUGCUGGUCUUCCAGGAAUGGUGGGGCAGAAAGGAGACCAAGGAAGUCAGGGCUUUCCAGGUGCUCCGGCCAUGGGGGUUGUUGGACCUCCAGGCAAGAAGGGUGCCAGAGUAAGUUAACUAUGCAGAACAACUUUAAAACUUGCAUGAGACCUUUGUCUAAGAAGACUAGGGCUGAGUACCAUGUUACUCACUGAGAUUCCUGGGAUAUACGAAGACCUGGCCUCAUGAAAUGACAGAGCUCAAGUGAACAGAGAUUGGAAUUCAAGAACAGUCAUACUGGGUCAGACCAGUGGUCCAUUUAGCCAGUAUCCUCUGUCUAACAGUGUCCAGGGCCAGAUGCUUCAGAGGGACUGAACAGAACAGGGCAAUUAAGUGAUCCAGCCCCUAGCAUCCGGUCCCAGCUUCUAGCAGUCA
rnacentral:lncRNA from 1 species